GACGAACCGAGCGAACGUUAUUCGGAUUUACUGGGCGUAAAGGGCGCGUAGGCGGCCAUCUAAGUCAGACGUGAAAUCCCCCGGCUUAACCUGGGAACUGCGUCUGAUACUGGACGGCUUGAGUAUGGGAGAGGGAUGUAGAAUUCCAGGUGUAGCGGUGAAAUGCGUAGAUAUCGAGAGGAACACCUGCGGCGAAGGCGGGUAGCUGGGCCGACACUGACGCUGAGGCGCGAAAGCCAGGGGAGCGAACGGG
rnacentral:rRNA from 1 species